UGGUGGAGUGAUUUGUCUGGUUAAUUCCGAUAACGAACGAGACCUUAACCUGCUAACUAAUCUCAUCUAUUUCAUAGGUGAUGAUUUCUUAGAGGGACUAUGUCACGAUAAGUGCAUGGAAGUUUGAGGCAAUAACA
rnacentral:rRNA from 1 species